rnacentral:rRNA from 1 species
GACGAACGCUGGCGGCGUGCUUAACACAUGCAAGUCGAACGGAAAGGCCCUGCUUUUGUGGGGUGCUCUAGUGGCGAACUGGUGAGUAACACUUGAGUAACCUGCCCUUGACUUUGGGAUAACUUCAGGAAACUUGGUCUAAUACCGGAUAGGAUCUCCUGCUUCAUGGUGGGGGUUGGAAAGUUUCGGCGGUUGGUGAUGGACUCGCGUCUUAUCAGCUUGUUGGUGGGGUAGUGGCUUACCAAGGCUUUGACGGGUAGCCGGCCUGAGAGGGUGACCGGCCACAUUGGGACUGAGAUACGGCCCAGACUACUACGGGAGGCAGCAGUGGGGAAUAUUGCACAAUGGGCGGAAGCCUGAUGCAGCAACGCAGCGUGCGGGAUGACGGCCUUCGGGUUGUAAACCGCUUUCGCCUGUGACGAAGCGUGAGUGACGGUAAUGGGUAAAGAAGCACCGGCUAACUACGUG